rnacentral:lncRNA from 1 species
AGCACUCUUGCCAUAUUGGCAUCUGCAACUUUCCUUGUCUCUGCCUCUGACCCCAGUCCUCUUCAGGACUUCUGUGUAGCACUCAAUGACACCAAAUCUGCUGGUAUGCAUUAAUUACAUUCAUUAUAUUCUGGCAUGCAAUUAUUUCCACAUGAAUUAUUUUCAUUAGAUAUUAGUUUUAUGAAGAUCGUUUUUCUGUUAACUAUAGCUUCUUCUUAUGCAUGAAAAAUCUAUUAGUACGUAAUUUUACAUAUGAAUAAUGCUAUUUGUACUGCAUUUACUGGGCAUCUUAGUGAUCAUCUCUCUGAUAUACAUUAAAGUGGUUUCCACUUACGUACGUGGAUUUUACCUCCGAAUAUAUAGCUCUAACACUAAAGUUUAAUAUAAAUUUUUUUUGGGUUGUAGAAGCAGUGUUUGUGAAUGGGAAGUUCUGCAAGGACCCAAAGCUUGCCAAUGCAAAUGAUUUCUUCUUUUCUGGCCUCCAAAAUCCAAGAAACACACAAAAUCCGCUUGGUUCAAAUGUGACAGCUGUGAAUGUGGACAACCUACUAGGACUGAACACUCUCGGCAUAUCCUUGGCUCGCAUAGACUUUGCACCAAAUGGCCUAAACCCUCCUCACACUCACCCUCGUGCCACUGAAAUCCUUGUGGUCUUGGAAGGAACACUCUAUGUUGGUUUCGUCACAUCCAACGGUGAUGGCAAUCGCCUAUUCACCAAAGUGUUGAACAAGGGAGAUGUGUUUGUGUUCCCAAUUGGCCUCAUUCACUUCCAACUCAAUGUGGGACACGUCAACGCUGUAGCCUUUGCCGGGCUUAGCAGCCAGAACCCAGGAGUGAUCACCAUAGCCAAAGCAGUGUUUGGCUCCCAGCCUCCCAUCAACCCUGAUGUUCUAGCCAAGGCCUUCCAAGUGGACGACAAUGUGGUUGACAAUCUUCAGAAACAGUUCUGGUACGACAACAAUUAG